rnacentral:rRNA from 1 species
AAGGUGGAUUUGUAAGUAAUUAUAUUGUAGAAAUAUUAAAUGAAAGGUGGAAUAACAUGUGUACAUAUUGCCCGUCGCUCUCGUGUUUUGUUGAGAUAAGUCGUAACAUAGUUGAUAUACUGGAAGGUGUAUCUUUUUGU